rnacentral:lncRNA from 1 species
AGAGAGAGCGAGAGGAGGAGGAUGAGAGGAAGAGGAGGAGAGCACUGAAGACGUCUGCUUACAAGUAAAGAUUUAUGUGACCCAUGGUCUUCACAAAUGGUUGGAUACAGACAUUGAUAAUUUGCUGUCGGGGGACACCGACUCGACUCCCUCACGCAACCAGCCGACCCUCAUCCCGAACACGAAACAACGAGCCUCUGGACCAGACUCGCGAGGGCGCCCCCCACUGAUUGUAGUAGGCGGAACAGAAAUUCCCCAUUUCUUUGGACUGAACUGCUUUAGUAUGGUAAUGUUGACUGGGGGUUUUCUAACAGCCUUGCUGUGUUUUGUUAAGAGUAACUUCUCCUGUUUAGCUAACGGGCUAAUUUCUUGGUUAAAUCUGGGAUUGUAAAUUCUGUUUAGACUGAUUAGCUGCUGCAGUUACUUUUUUUUCCUUGGGCUCCGUGACAAAUGGCACGACUAAUUGUUUCGGACCCUUACUUCCCGUCGUUUUUGUGCAAAUCCGCCCUAGUUUUUCCCUCGGCCUUGUGUGAAUACAUUCUCUUGUCAGCUGACCUCAAUGUAAGUUUUCUAUUUAGUAUGGUAACACAGGAAACAACCAAUAAUUUUAGUCCAUUGUUGUAAAAGCCAAACCUGUAAUAAAGAAC